AACGAACGCUGGCGGCAGGCCUAACACAUGCAAGUCGAGCGAGGACUUCGGUCCUAGCGGCGGACGGGUGAGUAACGCGUGGGAACGUGCCCUUUGCUUCGGAAUAGCCCUGGGAAACUGGGAGUAAUACCGGAUGAGCCCUUUGGGGGAAAGAUUUAUCGGUGAAGGAUCGGCCCGCGUUGGAUUAGGUAGUUGGUGGGGUAAUGGCCUACCAAGCCGACGAUCCAUAGCUGGUUUGAGAGGAUGAUCAGCCACACUGGGACUGAGACACGGCCCAGACUCCUACGGGAGGCAGCAGUGGGGAAUCUUAGACAAUGGGGGAAACCCUGAUCGAGCCAUGCCGCGUGAGCGAUGAAGGCCUUAGGGUUGUAAAGCUCUUUCAGCUGGGAAGAUAAUGACGGUACCAGCAGAAGAAGCCCCGGCUAACUCCGUG
rnacentral:rRNA from 1 species